rnacentral:piRNA from 1 species
UCCAACGAAACCCCAGAAUUAGAGCCU